rnacentral:rRNA from 1 species
CUACGGGGUGCACCAGUGAGGAAUAUUGCACAAUGGGGGGAACCCUGAUGCAGCAACGCCGCGUGGAGGAUGACGCAUUUCGGUGUGUAAACUCCUUUUAUAUGUCAAGAAAAUGACGGUAGCAUAUGAAUAAGCACCGGCUAACUCCGUGCCAGCAGCCGCGAUAAUACGGAGGGUGCAAGCGUUACUCGGAAUCACUGGGCGUAAAGGACGCGUAGGCGGGUUGGAAAGUCAGGUGUGAAAUCCUACAGCUUAACUGUAGAACUGCACUUGAAACUUCUAAUCUAGAGUAUGGGAGGGGGCGAUGGAAUUAGUGGUGGAGGGGUAAAAUCCGUAGAUAUCACUAGGAAUACCUAAAGCGAAGGCGAUCUCCUGGAACAUUACUGACGCUAAGGCGUGAAAGCGUGGGGAGCAAACAGGAUUAGAUACCCCCGUAGUC